GAGGAUCUCUACUGGAGGGACUAUGUAGUCAAGCCUAGGAAAUUAAAAACUCAAUAUGGAUUUAUUCAAAACAUCUUGGACAGAAAGAAAGAUCUUGAAAUUCCAGCGCUGUUAACCAUUUUGCUUAUAAAGAAAACUCAAAAGGGUUUUGACGGAUGGAUUCAGUAGUCCUUUGUUCUGAAGUUGACAGUUCAAAAGAAAAUAUUCGACCGAGAAAAAGAACUGACACUGCUAUCUAUCAGGGCUGACAAUUGUUUGCAAGUCCGAGUCAUAAUUUAUCCGACAUACUGG